UACAGAGGCCCCAAGCGUUACUGAGAAUCACUGGGUUUAAAGGGUGCGUAGGUGGCGCGUUAAGUCCGUUGUGAAAUCCCUUGGCUCAACCAAGGAACUGCUUCGGAUACUGGCGUGCUUGAGGCUAGUAGGGGUCACUGGAACUGACGGUGGAGCGGUGAAAUGCGUAGAUAUCGUCAGGAACGCCGAUGGUGAAGACAGGUGACUGGGCUAGUUCUGACACUGAGGCACGAAAGCGUGGGGAGCGAACGGG
rnacentral:rRNA from 1 species